rnacentral:lncRNA from 1 species
AUUUGGUGACUAUGGUUUCACUGGUAAACUUGCUAGGACUUGGUUCAAGACUGUUGAUCAACUCCCUAUGAAUGUUGGUGAUUCACAUUAUGACCCUCUUUUCCCUUUUGGAUUUGGACUCACCACAGAACCAACCAAGGCCUACUAAUGAAACACAUGUUUUUUCACACACACACACAAGAAGAAGGGCCUACUAAAUGAAACACCUGUUUUUUCACACACACAACAAGAAGUCCAAACAUACACAGCUAUAUAUUACCUCUUUAUGAUUUGAGUUAACAAAUAUUGCAUAUGUAACAAAGGGACAAUUGGAGUUAUGAAAAUGAAAAUUUUUGUUUUGUCUCAACGUGUUCUCUCCGCAGCUGGAGCUUAUCGAGGACAUGAUCCUGGAUAGGAGGGUUUGGAGGUCGAGGAAUAGGGUAAAAGGCUAGUACGUACUCGAACGUUUUUCUUUUUCUUUCUCAGACCAGUAAAGUUAGUGCUAGUAUGGUAUCCUUCUUAUUCGUAUAUUGCUAUUACUGUAUGCCGUUAAUUGCUAUCUUUCUCUUCGGUUAUCUUAAUAUCUUACCGUUGUUACAACUUGUUGUUAUUGUUUCUUUUCAUUUUCUUUUUAG